rnacentral:lncRNA from 1 species
GCUGCUUAGACACCCGCGAGCCCCAGCGUUCUCCUGGAAAGUGCCCCGGCUCUGUAGCGUGGCAGCCACUCGGCAUCUUCCCGUGGCUCCGUCAGCAGCCAAAAGGAGAAGGGUCCAUCGGAAAAAUGGCAUAUUACAAAUUUUGCUUUGGGAAGCAGAGCUCGGUUCAGACCAUUGUCAAAGGGAAGAGAGGGGGAGGCGGUUCUUAAAGCAGCCGCGGCCCCUUUGCCGCCCAGCAGAGGCAGCUAGAGCGUGCAGCAGGAGCCCCGGGGCGGAGAGCUGGUAAUCUGGGACUGGAACUGACUUUCAGAAACUUAACCUAGUAGUACCAAGGCUCCCCACGGUCUCCCGGACCACCCAGCGGGUGAAGAAGUGUCCCUUCAAACGCGAAGUUCUUCGGGAUGAAGUAUGGGAAGUACCUAUCUGGAAGGGAAAUUCUACACCCAGAACCCCACCCGGAGCCACUGUGGAGUUUAUGAACCAACCUGCUGGGAACGUGUGAGGAUGCUAUAGCAUCCUUGCUUCAUGCAAGAGGCUGAUACUCCUCCUUCUGUCUCCUCCCCUCCUCCUCCUUGGCAGCCUCCACCUCCUCUUCCUCUGGAACAAGGGCUUCCCCUGGAAGCUGCUGCAGUGGUUUCCACCGGCCCUUAAAUAAAUUCUGAAGUAAUCACGUCUUUGCUCUCCUCCUCACGCACACACGCUCGUGGAUACACUCGUCUCCCCCAAAGCGUCUCCAGGGCUGCUGAGGAUCAAGCUGGUCCCAGUUCUCUCAAUGAUGUCGAGGGCCACGGAUAGGCAAAAGUGUAACAGGGUUCUGCGUCUGCUUUGCCCGGCCUGAGCUUCUGCCACACAGUCAUCUUGAUAGGAAACCUUGUGUUGGCAUGUGUUCCUGGGAACUGGGAACCUUCCUGUUCUGUGGCCUUAGAACAUGAACUUCUUCCAAUCUUAAAACAGUCAAAUGCCUAUGAAGCUAGUGUCUGCCUUGAAAUUUCUCUGCCAUUGAGUGAAUUAAGGUCACAUUUUUUUUUUCAUUUUCAUCUAGGUAUUUCCACCAUGGGUUGUCAUUCUUUAUUUUCACUAAAUGCAGCGAUCAGACAAUGGAAAUAUCUAAACAGUUAAAUAAAUCUAAGUCUUUUGAUACCAUAUAUUUGGGAUCAUAUUAUUUCAACAAUAAGUUUAUGAAAACAGAAUUCAAGGAAAAAUUCUCUCUUCUUCUGAGUAGCAACUAUAAUAACAAUAUUUAAGCUUCAAUCCUGACAGUUAGCCUUGGUGAUUCAUCAGCCCUUCAUUCUCCACAGUCAAUCAGAGUCUAUGAAUUAG